CCUAAUAUGGCAAAAAUUUUAAUAUUACAGUCAAAAAAAGCCUGAGCAACCCAACCAAAUUGCUUGCAAUCGAAGGUACCCAUCUGUUUCUUCACUGUCAAUCAAUUAUUCCCUUAUCUUCCUCCCUCCUCUUCUUCAUCUCAUGGCCACAAAACCCUAACCCACUUUUCCAUUUCUUCUCUUUCUCUCACCUCUUCAAUGGGUCGGGAAACCUCUGCGACGCCGCAGACACCGGCACCCGCGGCUGCGGUAGCACCUGCAGGGAAGAUGAAAACGACGGCUUUGGCACCUGGCUUUCGAUUUCAUCCCACGGAUGAGGAGCUUGUCAGUUACUACUU
rnacentral:misc_RNA from 1 species